rnacentral:rRNA from 1 species
AUUGAACGCUGGCGGCAUGCCUUACACAUGCAAGUCGAACGGCAGCACGGGUGCUUGCACCUGGUGGCGAGUGGCGAACGGGUGAGUAAUACAUCGGAACGUACCUUAUCGUGGGGGAUAACGCAGCGGAAGUUGCGCUAAUACCGCAUACGCCCUGAGGGGGAAAGCGGGGGACCGUAAGGCCUCGCGCGAUUAGAGCGGCCGAUGUCUGAUUAGCUUGUUGGUGAGGUAAAGGCUCACCAAGGCGAUGAUCAGUAGCUGGUCUGAGAGGACGAUCAGCCACACUGGGACUGAGACACGGCCCAGACUCCUACGGGAGGCAGCAGUGGGGAAUUUUGGACAAUGGGGGCAACCCUGAUCCAGCAAUGCCGCGUGAGUGAAGAAGGCCUUCGGGUUGUAAAGCUCUUUUGUCAGGGAAGAAACAGCAGCUCUAACACAGUCUGCGAAUGACGGUACCUGAAGAAUAAGCACCGGCUAACUACGUGCCAGCCGCCGCAGUAA